CCCUUAGAUGUUCUGGGCCGCACGCGCGCUACACUGAUUCAUGCAACGAGUUUUGUCCUUGGCUGAAAGGCCUGGGUAAUCUUUGAACGUGAAUCGCGCUGGGGAUAGAUGAUUGCAAUUAUUCAUCUUCAACGAGGAAUUCCUAGUAAACGCAAGUCAUCAGCUUGCAUUGAUUACGUCCCUGCCCUUUGUACACACCGCCCGUCGCACCUACCGAUUGAAUGGUCCGGUGAAAUCUUCGGAUCUGAGAGAUGUUGGAUUAAUUUCUGACGCCUUUUGGAAAAGUCGCUUAAACCUUAUCAUUUAGAGGAAGGUGAAGUCGUAACA
rnacentral:rRNA from 1 species